rnacentral:rRNA from 1 species
UACGUAGGUGGCGAGCGUUGUCCGGAUUUACUGGGCGUAAAGGGAGCGUAGGCGGACUUUUAAGUGAGAUGUGAAAUACCCGGGCUCAACUUGGGUGCUGCACUUCAAACUGGAAGUCUAGAGUGCAGGAGAGGAGAAUGGAAUUCCUAGUGUAGCGGUGAAAUGCGUAGAGAUUAGGAAGAACACCAGUGGCGAAGGCGAUUCUCUGGACUGUAACUGACGCUGAGGCUCGAAAGCGUGGGGAGCAAACAGGAUUAGAUAUCCCGGUA